UUUUUUCCUUUUUUUUUUUUUUCCCCCCAUUUAGUGAGACAUUUCAUGACAGGGGAACAAUCAAGAGAAUAUAUCUUCUUAUAUAUACAUUUAUAUCUUUUAUGCAUAGGUAUAUAUAAAUCUAUACAUAGCAGCAUUUUAUAAAAAGAUAUAUAUUAUUUUAAAAAUUUCACAGAGAAACAGCAUUGUGCAGCUUGCACAUAUGCAAGAAUAUUUGCAAAACCCUGUGAUUAAUGGAGGGUCAUCAUUUAAAUUGGAAAGUAGAGGAACAAAUUCUGUGUUGUUGGAGCCUGAGGAGAGUAUGAAGGCAGUAAAACAAGCAUCUUGCUUUGAGUUCUUUUCAGGAAUAUGUGCUGUUAAUUGUAAUUUACCAAAUUGUAAGUUUGCAAUUCACACUGCAAAAAUUUAAUAGAGAGGCUAUUUUCUAUACUCUCUGGCCAUAGUCCCGAUCAUAAAAAAGACUGGUCUUCAUAUAAUCUUUCUUCUCUCACAAGGUUUCCUGGGCAUUUCAUUACACACCAAGAGACAUGACAGAAGUGUCCCUGUAAAUGCAAGACAUAAUGGAACAAUUACCAUGGGAGAAAGGGCAGAUGACAUUGAACAACAACCACAAUUGGAUUUCUCUCUCAGGACUGGAAACUGAGCUAAAAGUUCUGUGUCACAAGCUGGAUGGUACAAGCUAUGAAGAAGAACAAAGGAAUCACAGAGCCAGCAACGCGUUACCUUCUACUAUUAGUAAGCAGUUUGAUGCAACAGCACUUUAGAAUGAGCUGAAGCUGGUCCUUUGGUACGUAGCGCUGCAGCAGCAGCACCUCAUGACAUAGCAUUUUUGCCUUUACUACUACUACUUAAAUACUGGAACUGUUGGCAUGGAUAUGCUGA